UACGUAGGGUGCAAGCGUUAUCCGGAAUUAUUGGGCGUAAAGAGCUCGUAGGCGGUUUGUCACGUCUGCUGUGAAAACUGGAGGCUCAACCUCCAGCCUGCAGUGGGUACGGGCAGACUAGAGUGCGGUAGGGGAGGAUUGGAAUUCCGUGGUGUAAGCGGUGGAAUGCGCAGAUAUCAGGAGGAACACCGAUGGCGAAAGCGGCUCACUGGACCGAAUCGUGACACUGAGGUGCGAAAGCUAGGGUAGCAAACGGG
rnacentral:rRNA from 1 species